UACGUAGGGGGCAAGCGUUAUCCGGAUUCACUGGGUGUAAAGGGAGCGUAGACGGCCAUGCAAGCCUGGAGUGAAAGCCCGGGGCCCAACCCCGGGACUGCUCUGGGAACUGUGCGGCUGGAGUGCGGGAGGGGCAGGCGGAAUUCCUGGUGUAGCGGUGAAAUGCGUAGAUAUCAGGAGGAACACCAGUGGCGAAGGCGGUCUGCUGGACAGUAACUGACGGUGAGGCGCGAAAGCGUGGGGAGCAAACAGG
rnacentral:rRNA from 1 species